GCCUCGGUGGUGGAAUUGGUAGACACGCCGGACUUAAAAUCCUGUGGGCUGAAUGUCCGUGCCGGUUCGAUUCCGGCUCGAGGUA
rnacentral:tRNA from 1 species